rnacentral:lncRNA from 1 species
GCUGAUGGACCCAUCACAGAAGUUUAAUCCAACCUCCAUCCCAGAGUCUUCACAAAUGCUCACCAAAGAAAAUUCCCAGGACGAUUCAGGGGCCUCUCAAAUCUGCUCCGAGACGUUGACAAAAAACCUUAAUAACUUGACUGUCAAUGCUAGUAACGAAUCCCCUUCCCCUCUACCGGAAUGUUCACUCCAUGAACAGUCUACAAGAGCAACAAUCCUCAGGGAAAUCACAGAUCACUUGCUUUACAGGAGGAGAGGAGUAAGAACAUUGCUGUCUGUGCAGAGAGAGAGGAUGGCAAGAUUCAGAUACAUGUUACUCGGCGGAGUUCAUCCGCAUGAAAGAAUACUAACAAACACUGGGCUUAAGGGAGUUAAGAAGGAAUCAAGACCAUUCAGAUGUCCCUGCAGUUUCUGCUUGUUUAACAGAUGGGAUCCUUCUGAGAAUGCUAGAAUAGGGAAUUUUGACACCAAGCCACUUCAGCCA